rnacentral:sRNA from 1 species
AUAUAUCCCUUAAGUUGAAUUUAUUAUUAACUAGAUAAUUCUUUGAUAUAUUUCAUAGAUUGAAAAUAUAUAGAAUAUUUAACAGAAAAUGUUAAAAUUUAACAAAAAUAUAGGAAUCUAACAAUAUGGAGUAUACAAUUAAGUAAUGAAAGAGGUUUGUAAGGAUACCUAGCAGAUAUACUUGAAAGGAAGUAAAUCUUUAAGUAAUAGUAAGAAAUUUGUAAACUAUUACAAUCCUAAGGAAAACCAAUAAAAUAGAUUACGCUGGGAACUAAAACAUUUCAGUACCAGUAGGAAAGGAAAUCUAAUGAGACUUCUGUAGUAAUGGUGAGUGAAACAGAAUCAGCCUAUUACUCAUAUUGUAAAUAUAUUUAGUAUAGUAAAAUAUUGUGGAAUUCAAUAUAUUUAUUUUACUAUUAUACUAUGUAUAGUAGUAUAAUAUACCAAAGAUGGUGAAAGUCCAGACUACUAUUUUCUUGCAUUCAAGAAAUAGAUAUAUUUACAUACAUGUAUGAGUAAACAAAGUAAUAUGAAGACGGCAGCUUUGUAUGAAAUAUGGGGAUACCAUUCUCCAAGGCUAAGUAUAGUAUAUCUAGCGAUAGUGAAGAGUAACGUGAGUGAAAGGUGAAAAGUAAGUGUAUGACUGGUGAAAUAGAUCUUGAAUUACAAGCCUUACAAGCAGUUAGAGUUCUAUAGAAUAGAAUGAUAACGUACCUUUUGCAUAAUGGGUCAGCAAGUUAAUUAUAAAUGCAAGAUGAUAAAUCUUAGCGAAAGCGAUUAAAAAAUGAGAAAAGUAUUUAUAAUUAGAUCCGAAACCAGAUGAUCUUUUCAUGGCCAGGUUAUAAUGGACCGAACAGCAAAAUGUUGCAGUAUUUUCUGAUGAGCUGUGAAAAGGGGUGAAAUGCUAAUCUAAUCUGGUGAUAGCUGAUAUUCUGCGAAAUCUAUUUAAGUAGAAAGUUUCUGUAAAAUAUUCUUUGUAUAGCACUUAUUUCCAUUUCUUGAUAAAUUGGAUUCCAAUUUAUUAUUUAUAGAAUAAAUUAGGGGAUCAAAAGAUCCUACUAUUGUAAGUUAACCUCAGAAGAAGAAUAUCUUGAUCAGAAACUGACAGUCUAUUUGUGAUAAGGUAAAUAGACAAAAGGGAAACAGCCCAGAUCAUAAAUUAAGGUCCCUAAUAAAUAUUUAGUGAACAUAAGAAGGUCUUUUAUCUAAUACAACUACAAAGUAAGCUUGGAAGUAGCUACCUUUUAAUGAAAGUGUAACAACUCAAUAGUCUAAUGGAUAAAAGGCAUCGAAGAUUAACGGGUCUGAAAUAUUUAACCUACAUUAUGGUAUAUAUACAUUUUUAUUUUUCAUAUAGAAAUGUAUAUGUAGGUAGCAGAACACUUAGUAUGAGAGUGAAGAAGUGUAUGAAUACAUUUUGGACUAUACUAAAGAGAGAAUGCUGGCAUGAGUAACGAUUAAGAAGUUAAAAUACUUCUCGCCGAACACGAAAGGGUUUUAUGGAAAAGGUAAUCUGCCAUAAUUUAUACGGUUUCUAAGGAAAAUAAACGAAUUGUUAUUUUUUGAUGAAGAAUAGAAAUCAUAGAGAAAGAAUCUUUCUUCUAGAAAAAGAUUUCUACUAUUGAUAGUAACCGUACCUGAAACCGACACAGGUUCGUGGGUAGAGUAUACUAAGGCGUAGAGAUAAGGCUAGUGAAGGAACUCGGCAAAAUGCUUCUGUAAGUUCGACGAUAAAGAAGAAGUUAUAAUUUAGAAUCAUUUUAUGAUUCUUUUAUAACUUGUCACAAAAGUGAGGGCUUCGACUGUUUACUAAAAACAUAGCAACUUGCUAAGACGAAAAGUACUUGUAUAAGUUGUGAACUCUGUCCAAUGCCAUUUGUUUAAGGAAGGGAAUCUUCUUCCGGGAAGUGUUCCUGACUGAUGCGGUGGUGAAUGACGGUCUUAACUAUAAGGAUCUGAAAGUAGCGAAAUUCCUUGGCCAUUAAAUGUGGUCCUGCAUGAAUGAGGUAACGCGGCCCUGCUGUCUCCACUAGCUUCUCAGUGAAAUUGAAUUAGCCGUGCAGAUGCGGUUUGCCUUCCGGAGGACGCGAAGACCCUAUGCAGCUUUACUGUAUUCUGAUAUUGUUAUUCGUGAUAUAUAGUGUAGAAUACAAGGGAGUGUAACAUCCGUGAAAUACCUUGAUAUAUUGAAUGGAAUAACUUAUUUUUCUAAAAAAGACAGUAUCAGAUGGUCAGUUUUACUGGGGCGGUAGCCUCUAAGAAAGUAUCAGAGGCCUUCAAAGGUAUACUUACAUUGGUCAGAAACCAAUAGAUAAUUGUAUCUAUCAAAAUGUAAUGAUAAAAGUAUGCUUUACUGAAAGAUUGAUAGAUCGAUCAGUUACGCAAGUAGGAUAUAGUGAUCCGAUGAUUCAGAAUGGAAUGAUCAUCGCUCAAGAAAUAAAAGUUACGCUAGGGAUAACAGGUUUAUCGUUUGCGAGAGUUCACAUUGUCCAAACGGUUUGACACCUCGAUAAAAUAAAAAUAUUUUUAUGAAGAGUCGUUGUCGAGGUUAAAUUGGGUGAAAUGCGGAAAACUCUUAAAGAAAUCCCACUCUUUCAAUAAGACAAUUCGCAGCCAAGUUUAUUACGGUAUUUUUUAUUUUUCAUUUUUCUUUAGUAAUUUGAAAGAAUUAUGCUAGAAAUAAUUAUGUAAUAAAAAGGUUCAACGACUAGAAAGUGAGUUAUACCAACAAUAAUCUUUCCACGAGCGCCCAACAAAAUAUAUUUGAUUGUCACUUCAAAUGUAUUUUGAAGAUAUAGUCUAAUCCAUUAGGUGACUAAUGGUAAGUAAGUAUAAACAACUUACUAUCUUUAUUUAUAGAAAAUGUUUCUAGCAUUUAGCUUGUCUAGGAAUAAUAUAGAUAAAGAAGAAAAU